CAGCCGCCACGGUAAUACGUAGGGUGCAAGCGUUAAUCGGAAUUACUGGGCGUAAAGCGUGCGCAGGCGGUUAUAUAAGACAGAUGUGAAAUCCCCGGGCUCAACCUGGGAACUGCAUUUGUGACUGUAUAGCUAGAGUACGGCAGAGGGGGAUGGAAUUCCGCGUGUAGCAGUGAAAUGCGUAGAUAUGCGGAGGAACACCGAUGGCGAAGGCAAUCCCCUGGGCCUGUACUGACGCUCAUGCACGAAAGCGUGGGGAGCAAACAGGAUUAGAUACCCCGGUAGUCCCUGUCUCUUAUAC
rnacentral:rRNA from 1 species